rfam:Felis catus isolate Cinnamon breed Abyssinian chromosome E2, whole genome shotgun sequence.
GCCUGGGUGGCUCAGUCGGUUGAGCGUCCGACUUGGGCUCAGGUCAUGAUCUCGCAGUUUGUGAGUUCAAGCCCCGCGCCAGGCU